CGGGCUGCGAACAGCCGGCACCGCCUUCUGCCCCGGGGCGCGCGGGCGGCGAUGGAGAGCGAAGAGGCGGGAGCGGUACGGCUGUGCUGCUGCUACUGCUUCGUUGGCUGUGGUUAAGACGACCUGGAGAGGGAAGCGGGGCCUAGGAAGGACUCUAAUCAUUCUUUUCUUGGUUUGCCCACCGGCUCCGCCUGAAGAUGAAUGAAUUUAAUUGCGAACGCGCUGUGCUCCGUCAGCGAAGCCAAUGAAAUAAAACCUCCAGGCGAUACCCCGCUGUGUCUGAGGGCUCGGAACCCGUGUUGCUGGCCCGGUACAAGCGCUGCUUGUUCCAGCAUCAGAAGCAAGAUCACAGCACACCUGGCUCCAUACUCAAGGUCAGGCUGGAUGGGGCUCUGAGCAACCUGAAGUAGCUGUAGGUGUCCCUGUUCAUUUCAGAGCAGUUGGACUAGAUGGCCUGCAAGGAUCCCCUCCAACUCAAAUGGCUCUAUGCUUCUGUGUUGAACAUCAGUCCUAGUGUGGACCAAGGUGGAAGUGUGUCAUACAGCGUAAGAGAUGAAGCUGACCAAUAAAACGAAGAAAACCCUACAAAAACGUCUGUCUCCUUGCCACUGUUGAUGUCAGAUGCUGUGAUAUGAGCCUGUGGAGUCAGAGCAGUAAUUCACCUGGCACUCGCUCUUAUGAAGUCAUGAGCAUCUUGUUCGGAGAAGAAACAGAUCGGUCUCAGCUUGAGGAGCCCCAGCCUGCAGUGUCUGCUUCUCUUUCAAAUUCUUUGGGCUCCAACAGAAGAACAAAGGUGAAGAAGCAGCCCAGGCUAUUACACCUUUAAGCCUGUAUCAUGUUUCCAAUGUUAGAGCUCGGACUAUGGUUUGGAUCCUAAAGCUAAACUGAAGGCUGAAAAUUGCAAAAAGCAGAAGAAAGCUAGAUGUAAUGGCAGAUGGUUAGCUCAUCCCAUGAAAGAUGUCUGCACCAUAAAGCUGGGUUCUGAAAGAGCACAGCGUUCCUCUGGCUAUAUGUGCAGUGCGGUGCUGAAGUCAAACGAUGCUCAGAAAAUCCAGGAAAAGUGCUGUGAUGUGGAUUGAAGUUGUCACAUGACUCAGUGGGUCCUAAUGGCAAAUCUGUUAAACUUACCCAAGCAGAUGCAAGUAACUUAACAGGGCUUCCUCCACAGAGGUGUUUUCUGUCAUCAAGUGCCUGGAAACGGCGCAAGAAUUCCUCCAGGGGAAACUUUAUCUCUUUUGGUGCAAGAUGUAUUCAUCACCACUUGAAAAUGAGCAGGUCCUGAGACUUCUAGACCUUUUAGCCAGCUUCACCUCUGUAACUGCAUCCUAGUAUAUAUGCUGUGUGGGCAAUAUUGGUCAUCAAACUCCACUGGAGCAUGGAGCUGGUGCAGACUGCAUGGAGAGUCAGGUGAGAAACCCGUGAAAUCUGUUCUUAUUACUCCAUUGAUUCAAAUGGCAGCACUUGCGGAAGCGUGCUAGUGAGGGGCCUUGCAGAUGUCCACUCUGAUCAUGAAGUUGAAGUUCAGCAGUUUUUCAAGAUGAAAGAAAAAAUGCUUGAUUUUUUCAUUUCCAGAAAAGAAAAAACGAACACCUUUGUGGCUUUUUCUUAUUUAUGACCUCAGCAAGAGACUGUGGAAACACGAUUCACAGAAAACAAGGCACUGAGUAUGGAAAGCAUUCUCAAGUGCCACCCAUAUUUUUAGCUUCUGAUUGUAACUGGGUUUGCAGCAUAUUGGCAUAAAUGUGGAAUUAAGCAUAGGCUUGAAUUUUUACUGAAAUAGUGUCUCUGGAUAGUUGAUAUGUCUCCUGGUGCUGGGAAGAAACAAGUUAUUAGAUGAUUGAAUUAACAGUCUCUUAAAAACCUCUUUCCCCUGCAUAUGCUGUUAUUGGUCGUAGAAUAAAUCAAGUUGUCUCUGCGCUUGGUUAGCUUUGCCCAUGCAUGCGCACAUAAAUAGUAUGGCAAUGCCCAUUGAAUAGACACUCUCUCAGUACCCCAUUGUGUUUGCACAUGCAUGCAUAAGAGUGUUGCAUUUUAAUAUAUAAAGGCCCUUGUUAUGUGGGCUGUGAUGAUGCUUCUGGAAGAAAGCUAGGUUUCUGGAGGGUUCUGUCUUGUGCUGCCAAAGACCCCGUCUCACUGUUUAUCUGCUUUGGGCAAAGGUGUUUGGUUUUUUAGCCCCAAUACAAUACUCACUUUUCACACGAUUGGAUUUCUGUAUUAAAAACAACCUGCUCUCCUUCCUGGAGAUUCCUUCAUUAAAAAAAUGUCACUGAAGUCACUGGAAAGACAGAAAGGUUGCAGAGUUCUUAAAUAGAUGUAAAUACUUCAAAGCAUUUUACCUGUGCAAGUUUAAUUCUGCUCCCUUUGGGGUAUGAGAUACGAUUCAGUGUUUUCCAAAUAAUAAAUCAUUUUAGUUCUACAGGAAGAAUUGUUCAGGCUGGACAAAAUGAUGUAGAACUGUGGCAAACAGUGCUAAAGAGAGACUGUAUAACAGCUAUCACCCCAAGCAUAACAACCAGAACUACAAUGGUAUUACUUUGUCUUCCAGUGUUGCUGCAUUUCCAGACACCAUCUUUUCUGUGGAGGGAACAAGAUGAGGCUCCUAUAGAUUAAGCAGCAUAUGAUCAAGUGGUUAAGAAGUUUGCCAUAGUGUAUAAUGCACUGAAAGCAUGAUUGAAGAUCCUGUUGGAACUCUUAAUAUGGAUUUCUGUGAAAGAAAUCAGACAAGUGUAAGUGAAUAAAUUGGCAAUGCAAUGAAGACAGUGUUUUCCAGGGCUACCAGACAACUGCACCAUGAAAAGUUUUAAGAUAUUUCUACCUGCUCAAGCACUGAUGUUUUUCUGCAGAGUUUUCAGCAAGGACAAUUGCUGGAGGGCCCUUACAGCAGCAUCCUCAGGCAAGCAGCUCUUCUGUGCACCUGAAACAUCCUACACGAGGGACAUUUGGGGUUGCCCCUUCCCCCGCAGAUCAAAUCAUGCUGGUGAAUUUCCAGCCACACAAGGACAAGAAAGAUUAUUUUGUGUUGUGGAAGAAAAACAGAAGUAAAAGGCUAAGUUGACUUAGACUGAAAGAACUGAAAAGAAAGCAGAUCCUGUACACCGGAGACUUAAGAUUGUCCUAAAAAGUGGAUAAAUGGGGUCCAGAGAGUUCUUUCCUAUCAGAAGUUCACCAGAGAUGCUCUGACAUCACUUCCCAUUUCGCUCUGGAAUCUGUAAUAAUGAGCAACAGAGUUCAAUCAUGGAUAAGUUAAUAAUCACAGGAGUGGAGAUGUCCAACAGAAAUGAGCUCCACAGGUCCAGCUGUCAACAGGAAACAGCUGUUUCACAUGUGUUCCCACAGUGAUAAUUCUGAGGUACAAACAGGCCUGUCAGUCUUGAAACUGUUUUCAUGGCUUUAUGUGCUGUAAAUGUGCAGUAGACUGUGGGUGUACCAUGUGGGCAACACAGAAACUAGUAGAACAGAGGUCAGAACGGGUGGUAUGAUACACUCAGACAUGAACUGUCCAGUAGAAGUAGGGCCCACACAAGUCAGCAGUGCCUCAAGAAAAUGGUGUAGGCCUAUUUGAGAUACGGCUGCAAUAUCAGACUGCCCCAAAUAUGCAGUAACCUUCUAUCACCACUGCUAGACCUACUGUCUAGAUCAAUGAUGUACAGUGGAAAAUAGGUCAUCUAAAUUUCUCUCACAUGUCUAAAUUAUCCUUGUUGUGGAGCAUACCAUAUUAAAUAGCUGGUGAGAUAUUUGGCCCUGAAUGCAAUUUAUUUCCUUGCUUGCUUGCUACCUUGUGAUAUUACUCCCACAUUUUUCCAGUAUGUCAGAACUCUGUGAUACCUCUCCUUGCUCCUAGCUUUUAUAUAACAUUAUUUUGUGUAGUUCAUCCAAUCCACCUAACAAAGUAUGUAACCUUUUUACUUUGAUAAGCACCAUGUGACCAGUCCUGUUAUUUCACUCGUGUUUUAAAGGAGAUUUAUUGGCUGUUGGCAUAAAUAGCUGUUCUUGCCCUUGAUUUGUUGCCUUGUGUUUAAAAUGGGGAUAAGAUAGGUUAAGAUUCUUCUUUACUUCACAGCAGUUUUUCAAGGUUAAUGUAAUUAAUAUGUCCUAACUAUUGUCUGGAAGGUGUGAAGAAAAUGGCAGGGUCUUAUCACUACUGCAAGUGAAAUGUCUGCUGCCUAAUAAAUAUCUACAACAGCACAACUGGAGCCAUCAGAGGAAAUUUUUCUACUGACUUGAAUUCAGCCAAAUCAGUUUGAGAUCCUCUCAUCCCAACUUCAGUAUAAGGGUUUGAGGAAUAUAUGAAGCUAUACUGAAAAAUAUUAAUCAGCCAGCUGUUGGUGGUGACAUCAGCUUGGCCUCAUACAGGGAACAAAGCAUGUAUUGCUAACUCUUUCUAAAUAAAGCAGAUGACUUUUCAUUUUUUCCUUUUUAAAGAGCAGAUUUCCUUAUGGGAAGGGAAAAAAAAAAACCCACCUCACAACACCAAGGCAACCAGUCUCAUUCCAGCACUUUCAGGUUCUGUUUUUAUUGCUCUGGGCUCCCUCCUACUUCCAAUUAUUUAUGGAACAAACUCUGAGUCACAUGGUGGAGCUGGAAUGAUUCAGGAGUUUGUUGAGCGAAGAGAAAUAGGAAAAGAAGGGCCUAGCGGUCCAGGCAAAUGACAUCAGUGCUCUGGCAUCCUAUCCCAGGCCUUGGAAAAUGCAGCCCUUGCUGCUAGAAGGAUUG
ensembl:lncRNA